AAAAAGAGGAAGAUCAGCAACUGACGUUAGCUCAGGGUGAGUGUUCCUCACCAAAAAAAGCCACAAAAAAGUCAUGUCAUAGUACCAUUAUACUGUAUUGCCAAAGACAGGUGUUUACAGAUACCCUGUCUGAAAUGGAUACAGACACCCAGUCUGAAAAUGCUUACAGCCUUACUGAAGAGACUAUAUAUGAAUAAUUACAAUUCAGAUGAACAGUGACCUGUGGGAGUAGUUAUCACUGAUUCUUCCCUAAGUAUCCAGGGAAGGAUUCAUUUAUUUCAGGAAAGCAAAGGCAUGGAAAGAGUAGAUUUUUGUGUAGGGAUGGAAGGUUGAGGAUGUGUGGGAUUUAUGACUGUGCAAAACCCCACUAUGUGCAUAUUUGUGUAUUUAUAAAUAAUGCUUUGUACCUUAUGAAAACAUAUUCAAAAAAUAAAAAGGAAAAAUAUUAAUUAAAAAUAAUAAGGUAUUUAAUUAUUUUUCUUCUACCCCAUUGGAUUGUUCUUGAACACCCCAGGGAGACCCAUGCUCUGGCCUAUAGGAAUAAUGAAAGGUUGUUAAUGUAGAUUGGAUAGAUUUAAAAUAGAUAAAUACUAGAUGCCAAUUUAUUUACAGAUAUAUUCGCACAUGAAGGACAGAGCCAUUUAUGUUUUGUCUAAUAUUAUUAAUCUCCAUUCAUGUCUCCCAUGGGGUUUCUGACCCAGUGCUUCAUACAUAAUGGAUAUUCAACAGGGUGCCUGGUUUGCUUCGUCUACUUUGUGGCCUACACAAAGCUUAGGUAGUGGCUAAAGAGCAAUGGCUCAGAAUUGUCUGGGUCACUCUGCGGCUUCAGUCAUUUUGCAGCUCAGCUGGGCCUGGAUGUUCUAAUAUGGGCUCACUCACUUAUUGGCUGUCAGUGAUUUGUCCAGGAAACCCCAACUGGAUCAUCUCAUCUCUGGUCCACAUGGGCUUUCACCCUCUUGUAGGCUAGACCAGGUUUCCCCACAUAAUGCUCUCAGGGCAGCAUUCCAAGAGGAGGAGAGGUGAAACUCCAAGGUCUCAUUUUUAUUGGAGAAAGAAUGUCACAAUUCCAGCCCAAAUUCAACAAGUGGUGAAGUAGAUUCCACCUCCUGAUGGAAGGCACUGCAAGGUCACAUUGCAGAAGAAUGAGAAGAGUUAACUGUAGCCAUCUUGCAACACCUACAGAUUCAGAUUUCUAUGAAAACCGAAUAAAAAUCUAGUUUAAAGAGGGAUAAAAUAUAUUUAGUUCUUUACUUCUUUUAGUUCGCCUGAAGUGUCAAGUCAUUUUUAUGAUUUCCAGGGUGCACUCCUGUGCUUUCUUCUUACCCACAUAUUCAUAUGUGGAACAAUAGCCUACUGAUAAGAAUCAACUUGUAUUCUGCUGCUAAUCAAUAAGGAUUCCUCUGCCACCGUUAAUUUCAUCCAAGGUGUGCCUUCCAGAAUUCCAAGAUAAUGUAAAGCUUCUGUUUAGCAGGAUAGUUUGCUAAGCGUUGCUCGUAAGUAGUGCCCUUUCAGUUUAAGGCACCCCUGAGCUGCUGCAGAAAACUAAAUGGAACUCGGUGUACAUCCUAGCUCCCUUCACCUCACUCUUAAAGUGGAUUGGGUGAAAUCUGCCAGGAGAGCACAAGUCAUUUGCCAGUAAUGAUAUUUAUAAAUGAUUAAAAAAGGAGUGAUCUAAGACCUUUUUACACUGUGUUUAUUCUGUUUGAAGAGAUCAGAGUUUUUCUGGGACCACCAGUCCUCUUUGGAGGCUGGGAGCAGUAGCAUCAAACAUUCUUGUUGGCACUUGUGUUGAAUCUGUGAACAGACCCAUCGUGUGCAGACUCCUGCUCUGCUGAGAGGAGUGUGUGCCUCCGCAUGUUUACAGUGGUGGAGUUUCCUUGCCCCUCUGCCAACAACCACAAAAUGAUCAGUAAUGAGAGCAAUUAACUAUCGAGAGGAAGAAAACAAAGACAUGAAUUCCAUGAUACUCUCAUGCUUUGUAUUAUCAGUGACUUCAUUGUUUCUCUUGGCAAAUUUUUAAUGCAUCUGUGCUUGGCCCCGGGGUGCAUACUGAGGAAAAGAACGAUUUUGUAAUAGCGACAGUGGUUUGGGAUUUUCAGGUUACCAAAAAAAAAAAAAAAGGAAUGGAAAUUUGCUUUUGUUUAUACCAAAUAAUGAUGCCUUACUCUUUUCAUAAAGUGCCUUCAAUGACAUAUGCCUGGUGAUUUUGCAAGAAGAAAAUCUGCUUAGUUGUCAGUUUGGCAUAGCCUAGUGCAUUGUUAUCUGUGACCAUCACAGCCAUAGAAUGGCAGCCUUGAGGAGUCUAAGAGAGCAAUAGACUAGGAAUCAGGAAACCUGGCUUCUGAUCUCAGCUCUGCUUUUAGUCAGGCUCUGGGUUGUCACUUAGAAAAUAAGAAUAUUAGGCUAGCUUGGCCCUACAAGGUCAUUCAGAAUGGAACAAGGACCAGGUGUUCUUUCCCUUGAACUCUACCUUGUUCCUCACCCCCUAACUGAUCCCCUGACAGCAGGAUUUGGGCCUGAGACUAGAUGAUCUUUGAGGUCCCGGGACUUCCCACUUUAGAAUUCUGUGAUUCUCUGUUUUCUUGUAUCUAUGGAUACAAAUACAGUGCAGUUGGCCCUGAGAAGCAGAUUCUGCUUUGUUUUCCUAUGUGGUGACCUCGGUCAUUUUUUCUUGGGUUUAAGCUGGUUGAAAUCAUGAUGGAUCUUGGUUAGGUUGUGUCCAUGCAGGAGAAGGAAAAAGAAGGAAACCAAGGCUUGUAGCUAAGUAACUUGCCGAAGUUCAUACUGCUAGAAGGUGACAGAGCUGUGUCCUGACUUGGGCAGUUGGGCUCCAGAGUCUAGCAAAUCACUGUGCAGUAUCUACUGAGGGUUUUCUAAGAAGGCGUACAUAAUGAAGGGAGAACAACAAACGUUUAUGAAGUACCGAUCAUGCCAGGUACUGUGCUCAGCAACUUAUGCUAGCUUAUUUCUAUAUCUGGACUAGUAUCCCAUUUGUUGAUAUGGGUAUAGUUAAUUCUGGGUACCCAGAAUUACACAAAAAUCUGAAUAACAUCAAUUCACAACUCCCUGGCCCUUUCAGCAAUUGGUCUAUUCCAUAAAGAUGUUUUCUUUUCAUGCAUUAUUUAUGUGCAGAAACUUAGUUGAAUGCAUUGGUAUUCUUAAACUUUAAUGUGGUUUUCUCAACCACUUUGCUGGCAUCUUGGGGGUGGCAGGGGGCAUAGCAUAAGAGAGUAUGGGAUUGUGGAGUCAGAUGGAUCUGGGCUUAAAUCGUAGCUCCAGUGUUAGCUCUGUGGCCCUAGACAAGUUACUAAACCUCCCUGAGCCUUCAAAUAUAAAGUGGAGAUAAUGAUACCUGGUAAUGUGUUUAUUGUUCACUCUUUGAGCACAGGACCCCUGUUUUCAUAUCUGUAACCCCAGCAUCCAACAGAGUUGGGCCUCAGCAGGGAUUCAUUGAAUGACUGAAUCAUGCAAUCCUCAGCAGAGCUGGUUGGCUCUAAGUAGGAAUUGCCUCAUGGUAAAGAUGAUUCAUCUGUGAACCACUGGCCAGAAAUUUAGAAAAAUGGUACUGAGAGUCUAAUAAUAGAAGUAGCUAAUAUGCAUAGACCUCUUACCACAUGCCAGGCACUGUUUUAAGUACUUGUAUUAUCUUUUUUAAUCUUAAGGAGUUUUAGCCUGAAAAAGACUUUAGGAAAGGGCUUGGUAAAGGCCAAUUAAGGCUGGAGACUCUCAGAGGAUAUAUCAUAUACAAGAAAUUAAUAUCAAUAUCUGGGUAGUACUGGUGCCUACAAAAAGUUCAGAGUGUGUGUGCGCGCGCACACCUGUGCACUCACCUGGUGGAGAAGUGACACUAGAUCCCCAAGACUUACUAGAAAUCUCUGGUUAACGUCACUGAAUUUUGAAAACCUUUGAUCAUAUAUACCCUAAGCUCCUGCUCUCCCUCACCCCCGCCACCCCACAUACAUUCUCAAGUGCAUAAAGUAAGCCGAACAUUCACUACACUCCUUGUUAUUUGACAGCAGCUUAAUAAUCAUUAGUCCUGUUUUAAGUAUGUGAUAUUUUGUAAAGCAGUGUCAUUUAAACUAGAUUUGGUAGGAAAUUGGGGGGGGGGGGAGCUGUAAAUUGUUUCGAUGGUUGCAUAAUGCAGAGCAAGUCUGUGCUAACUGUAGGACACUCACCGUCAAGGGACAAACCAGGAAGUGAUCCAGGGCCUUAAGUUUGAAUGUAUUUAACAUCCCACACUUUGCUGAAUUUAGGGAGCAGGCUGUCUACUAAGUUUACAUUUCCACUUGGAUUUACCCCUCUCUGUGUGGAACCAUUUAGUUCCCUCGAAGGGAAAUGGAAGGAGAUGUAGGAAGAUUAUGGGGUUCUCAGCAGAGCUCGUUGAGCCCUUAAUAUUAACUGUCUCAUGGUAAGUGUGAUUCAUCUAUGAAAAUACUGGCUAUAAAUAGAUGUUAAUAGUGCUCAGUUGCAAAACAGCCAGGUUGUGCUUGCAUGGCCACAUUAGGGAAAAAAAUCCUCUUGGGUAUUUUAUUUGGUUUCUCUUAAAAUAAAAAAUUUGUUUCCUUUUAUUGCCCUAGUCACCCACAUUUGAAGACACUAAAUUCAGCCAGCUGCAGUAAAGCUAUCUGAUGGCUAAAAAAAGACACAUUGAAAACCAGUUAACCUAAUUUAGCAAUGGCCCCCCUUUGUCUUUUUCUUCCAUUUUCAGUAAAAAUCAUUGAAACAUUCUCUUAAUGGUAGUUUUGCUUGUAGGAAGGGCAUGGACAGAGCUUCAGAGAGGGGAAUGGAACUUGAGGUUGUGUGAUUCAGGUCCAUAUUCCCAAGGAUUCUGAGUCCUAAGAGAAAGUCAAAGUUACAGGUAGAGAAGAAUCAAGUAUGAAGUUCAGAAGGCAGUGUAGUGGUCGUCUCAUCUAUCCCCAGUGGUACCAGGCACUCAGUAUUGCCUGUGAUCGCCUGCUCAAUUGUUACACAGCUCCAGAUGUCUAACUGUGCUUCCCAUGAGCUGAAACCCAGCUCCCAGGAACUUCAUUCAUUCAUCCCGCUUCUGCUGCCAGUUGGAUCAAGCAAGGCUGCUCCUCUUGCCUCUUCCACACAUAGUCCUUCAAUGGGAAGGGCUCUGUUCUUUUUUCCAGGUGAAACAUUUUCAGUUUCUUCAGUCACUCUCCAUACUACAUAAUAUAGUCUCCCUCACCCAACACACAAUCUCACACGCACAUUUUGAUUACACCCCUUUAGACCUGCUCUUCGUUCAGUGGGUGUUUCUUAAGAAAUGCGUGGAGUCGGGCACAAUUUCCCAGAUAUUAAACACAACUAAAGCAGUGAAUUGGUGACAGUAUAUAAUUAGGGAAGAUCACAGUAAUUCUUCUGAUGUUGGAUCUCAGUUGGAAUUUUAAGUAUAGAUCCAGAAAUUUGAUACUAGCGACUUCAUGAGGACUUAUUCCAGUUUAGCUUAUCAGGUGAGUACUUAUAAUAAUACCUUUCAUGUGUACAUUGCUUGGUACAUCAGUAGAUAGGUAAUUAUUUGCCCUGUUUUGCAAGGUGAGGAAUUUGAGUUUCAGAAAGUUUAAAUAACUUUGGCUAAUAAACCUUGGACUGGGGAUGAAAACUUAGGUAUUCUGAUGCCCCUUUCUCUCCAGGCUCCUGCUGGACUAAUCAAAACUCACACUUUUUUUUUUAGCUUGAAUGUGGUGUUUGGUUGCUUGUCCACUAAGUGCUGUAGUCAGAGAAGCUGCUGGCUGUAGAUACAGAGCAAACAGCCUCCUGAUGAGGUCUAGUAGAGCAGACUUACAUCGUGGCUUUUCUUAGCUAGGUUUUCUGAAGAAAGGACAAAAAGAAAUAUAAAAAUCUCAGAGUAUAAAUAGUUGAUUUAUCCGAGUUUUCCAUUACAAAUCAGUGGCUCUUUAAAGAUUCUUUUCUCAUUUAAGGUUGACACAGAGCUGGGAAUGUUUUCCAGAUCUUUGUGGAAUAGAACAGAAAAAGAAAAUUAUUUUCAUAUAGUCCAAGUUAACUUUGAAUGCAUUUUUGAAUGUCACACUCCCAGCACUAGAUCAGAACUCUUGAAAAUCAUGUGAUUCUUUUAACAGUUUUCAAACUACGUCACUUUUCGUAUUUCUUCCAACUCUGCUCUCUGUUUUUUCUUAGAAGUACAGUGAUGUUGAGCCAGUCACUUAACCUUUCUAUUCUCUCUGAAUUUUUGUCCUUUCAGCUCUUGGAACCAGUUUCAUCCAAUCUCCUUCUUCUGCAGUUGAGGCCCAUGGAGGUUAACUGAUGUGUCCAUGGUUGUACCCGGAGCCAACACCAGAACCCAGAUCUCUUGCCUGCAGCCCUGUUGACUGUUUUCACAGCAACACUACAUGUUCAUAGGCCAACCUAUUUCUUCCAGAUCUAAAAAGUUGUAAAUCCUAAAAGAUAAAAAUGCAUCCUUCAGAGUA